CUCAGAUUGAACGCUGGCGGCAGGCCUAACACAUGCAAGUCGAACGGUAACAGGAAGCAGCUUGCUGCUUUGCUGACGAGUGGCGGACGGGUGAGUAAUGUCUGGGAAACUGCCUGAUGGAGGGGGAUAACUACUGGAAACGGUAGCUAAUACCGCAUAACGUCGCAAGACCAAAGAGGGGGACCUUCGGGCCUCUUGCCAUCGGAUGUGCCCAGAUGGGAUUAGCUAGUAGGUGGGGUAACGGCUCACCUAGGCGACGAUCCCUAGCUGGUCUGAGAGGAUGACCAGCCACACUGGAACUGAGACACGGUCCAGACUCCUACGGGAGGCAGCAGUGGGGAAUAUUGCACAAUGGGCGCAAGCCUGAUGCAGCCAUGCCGCGUGUAUGAAGAAGGCCUUCGGGUUGUAAAGUACUUUCAGCGGGGA
rnacentral:rRNA from 1 species